CUCCCCAAUGUUAACCAUUUAGAGUUUGCACAUUCAGCAGGACAAUACUAGCCAAACCUACUUACACUACUGAAAGCUCCGUACUAGGAAUAUGUCCCUGAAAGACACAGUACACAGAAGUAUACCCCACUGCAAUCAAAAAUGCUUUGCAACACUUAGAAAACACCAUGACUACAAUUAUUAUCAUACUGUUAUAAUCCUACAUUUUCAUUAUGCAGACAAAUAGCUAUGGCUCUUUACCUUUCUGAGGUUAUCGACUCUGUAACAGAGGAAGGGAAUAUUGUCCUAUUAUUGCUAAAAGAGCAAAACACACAUGCUAGUUACAAUUCUGUUGCUAUAUCGGUGUCUCUGCCUUCUCUCUCCGUUUUUAGUAGUAUGAGAUAAAAAUCAGACAUGGCAAUGAAGAAAGGCCUGAGUACCAUGCACAGGCUAGGACUGACCACCAACCAGCCUUAAUACAUUUACAGUUUGACAACGGUUUCUCUGAGGAGGAGGAGAGAUAAUGAAAAUUCACAGCUGCUGCUUACAUAAUACAGGUUACACAAUUAUAUGCGGAAAGAAAAUGAAUUAAAAACGGUAGAAGAGCCAUAUGUGAUCUUUGAAAACAAGCACACAAAGGGAAAUCCCUAAAGGCUGGAGAAGCGAAAUCAUCAUCCUGCAAGACAGGCAUUUAGUUCUUUGACAAGCUGGGUGCUUAAAGAAAAAAGUGUCUGCUGACUAGUGUGAUUGUUCAAUUGUCUUAUGUUCUCCUCUUAAGAGCAUGACCAACUCCUUCUACUGCCCAAGUAUGCAGACACAACACCAUCAGCCAGAAGUGACAUACCAACAACACAUCUGAGCAUCUCUGUAAAACAGUCCUACCCCUCUGGCCAGCAACGAGACACACACACUGCCUCUGCAGAAUAAAUUUACAGUCCUUUCCCUAGUCCAGAAUAAGACUCCUGUAAAUCAAGACAACAUAUGCUCCAUAGAGGACAAUGGUGUGUCUGCAAAAUUCCAGCUCAGCUGAAAUUACACUCUAUCUCAGCUUCCCCCUGUGAUUUCAACUGAAUAUAGCAUUCUUCAGUUCGUGUGUUGAAGUGCUAUAUAAUGUUGCUGUGCACCGUUAUUCAGCAGCUGUAUCCCACCCCAGAUGUGACAGUAUUUCACAGGUGGAUGAAGUGAGCCAUUACAUACUUCAGAAAUAUAAAGCUCAGAUCUCUAAAUGAGAGCCAUUAUUAGAAUUUCAAAAUAUUAUUAUUUGAGAAUAUUAACAGGAAAUUCUCCUUGUUCACCAUAUUUCAAUGGAUUAAGUAUGUUAACAUGAAUUACAGUGUCUUCCAAUAUUUAUAAAUAAACCAUUUGAUUUUUUUAUUCUUUUAAA